rnacentral:rRNA from 1 species
ACUGCUCAGUAACACGUGGAUAACAUGCCCUAAGGUGGGGGAUAAUCUCGGGAAACUGAGGGUAAUACCCCAUAGGUCUGAUGUGCUGGAAUGCUUUCAGGCCGAAAACUCCGGUGCCUUAGGAUUGGUCUGCGGUCUAUCAGGCUGUAGUGGGUGUAACGGACCCACUAGCCCGUGACGGAUAUGGGCCUUGAGAGAGGGAGCCCAGAGAUGGACUCUGAGACAUGAGUCCAGGCCCUACGGGGCGCAGCAGUCGCGAAAACUUCGCAAUGGGGGCAACCCCGACGAGGGAAUUCCAAGUGCCAGCACUUUGUGUUGGCUGUUCUCCUGUCUAAAAAACAGGAGGAGUAAGGGGCGGGUAAGACGGGUGCCAGCCGCCGCGGUAAUACCCGCGCCCCAAGUGGUGGUCGAUAUUAUUGAGCCUAAAACGUCCGUAGCCGGUCUUCUAAAUCCUUGGGUAAAUCGGGCAGCUUAACUGUCCGAAGUCCGGGGAGACUGGGAGACUUGGGACCGGGAGAGGUCAGAGGUACUUCUGGGGUAGGGGUAAAAUCCUGUAAUCCUGGAAGGACCACCGGUGGCGAAGGCGUCUGACUAGAACGGAUCCGACGGUGAGGGACGAAGCCCUGGGGCGCAAACGGGAUUAGAUACCCCGGUAGCCCAGGGUGUAAACGCUGCGGGCUUGGUGUUGGGGGUCCUUAGUGGGCGCCCAGUGCCGGAGAGAAGUUGUUAAGCCUGCUGCUUGGGGAGUAUGUCCGCAAGGACGAAACUUAAAGGAAUUGGCGGGGGAGCAC